rnacentral:misc_RNA from 1 species
CUCAUAUACGCAGAACAGUAGGCGCUCACGCAAAACGUGCAUCCAGCCCAUCUCGCUCCGCGCCUUUCCGAUCUUUCACCUCACGGAUCGCAUCCAUGGCAGAGCGUAACUACAGCCCCUUUUCUGGGUUUUCCACCACUUCCCGCGGUGGUGGUGGUGCCCAUCGCAAGGGCAGUUCGGAGGGAAUGGGUAGCAAACUGGCGCCUGUGAACUGGUCGGCCAAGAGCCUCGUCCCGGGCAAGUGGAAGGUUGUCGACGCCAGCGCGAUCCGUAAGGCUGCCAGCGUGAAAGAUGACCACAGCGCCAGCAAGGUGAAGCACCUCAGCGAUGUCGAGGCGGAAGAGUGGCGUCAGGCCAAUUCCAUCACAGUUUCCGACUCCGACCAGUGCCCGAACCCAAUCACCGAGUUCGACAUGCUCACCGCCGUGCCGCAGUACCUGAAGGCGAAGCUUCUGGAGCAGGGUUUCAAGGCCCCCACUCCGAUUCAGGCGCAGUCUUGGUCGAUCGUUCUGUCGGGACGCGACCUCGUCGGCGUGGCCAAGACCGGCUCCGGCAAGACCUUGGCGUUCAUUGUACCAGCCUUGGCUCACAUCGCGCUGCAGGAGCCGCUGAAGGUGGGGGACGGCCCAAUGGUCAUUGUCCUCGCGCCUACCCGCGAACUGGCCCAGCAGAUCGAGCAGGAGGCGAUCAAGGUGCUGCCGCAAAGCAUUCGGUGCGGCUGCAUUUACGGCGGUGCGCCGAAGGGCCCGCAGCUCGGCCUGCUUCGCCAGGGUGUGCACAUCCUCGUGGCCACCCCAGGCCGCUUGAUCGAUUUCAUGGAAAUCAAGCGUGUGAACUUGUUGCGUGUAACGUACCUGGUGCUGGAUGAGGCGGAUCGCAUGCUGGACAUGGGCUUUGAGCCGCAGGUGCGCGCCAUCUGCGGUCAAAUUCGCCCUGACCGGCAAACGCUCAUGUUUUCGGCUACGUGGCCGCGCGACAUCCAGAACCUCGCCGCCAGCUUCCAGAAGAACUGGGUGCGCAUCAACGUUGGCAGCAUGGAGCUGCUCGCAAACAAGGAUGUCACGCAGCAUUUCAUCUUGACCUCAGAGGCAGCGAAGCUCGAUGAGCUGAAGCGGCUGAUGGAGCGGCACCGCAAUCAGCGCGUGCUCAUCUUCUGCAAGACAAAGAAGACGGCUGACUACCUCGAGUUUCAGCUGAAGCGCAACGGCGUGGAUUGCAUGGCGAUUCACGGCGAUAAGGAGCAGCGUCAGCGUGAGUUUAUCCUGGAGCGCUUCCGCAAAGACCCGCGACUGUGUGUGGUGGCCACUGACGUGGCCGCUCGCGGUCUCGACAUCAAGGAGUUGGAGACGGUGGUGAACUAUGACUUCCCUAUGCAAAUCGACGACUAUGUUCACCGCAUCGGCCGCACGGGCCGCGCCGGGGCUAAGGGUGCGUCCUUUACGAUGAUCACGAAGCACGAGACCCAGCUGAACGCGUCGACGGUGUUCCAGCUGGUAGAGCUGGUAGAGCGCGCGGGGCAGGAGGUGCCUGGGUGGUUGCGCGAGUGGGCCGAGCAGGGUGGCGGCUAUCACGUCCCGAAGCGCAACCGCAACAUGAUGGGCAGCUUCGGCCGCAGCGGCCCGAGGAUGCGCAUGCCGGGCGAUAGCCCGGCUGCUGGAGCCGGUAGCAGCGGCGGCCACUUUGGGCUGACGCCACACGCUAAAGGCUCGCCGGCGUUCGGCAUGCCGGACAGCGCAAUUCAGAACAAGAAGUUUGACUACAGCAGCGACGACGACGACUCUGCUCGACCGGCCAAGCGCGCGCGCCAAUAGACGCUUCGGGGGUGAAGCAAAGGUGGACGAGGCUUACGAAAGAGCGACGAGAGGGGGAGAGAGCACCACUGAAGAUGGCAUGAUUCCAUGAGACCGCAGAUCAGCUUGGGCUCAUUCUUUACUGUCCUUCUUUUUCCUUCUGGUCACCCUUUUUCCAGGUUUCACGGCGCGUAUCUGUCUGCCCGUGCGUGUGCGUGUGUCUGUCUGUGUUCCUUUCACGUGUGUGCCUUUCCUCUCUUCUCGCCAAGCGUCUUCGAUACGUGUGCCGGCAUGCGUGUGCGCAUGGGUGGCGAUUUCGGUCAAGACGUCUCCCACCUCCUCACCCCCCUCCCCGCUGUUCUCCUCCCCGUUUUCUAAUAACGCUCAAGCUACGUCUAACAAGGUCUGUUUUUUUUUCGUCUAGCUGUUGCCUUCAUUGACUUUAAGUGCGCGUGUCUGUGUGCGUGUUGUAGCCCGCCGCCAUCUACGGUGGACUACGGUGUUGUCCGUUCGCCCUCCCCUUCGUCUUUAUCUUCUCUGCUCGAGUGGCCCCCUUCUCGUUCUCGCCGCUGUUCUCUCCAGCGCUUCCGGACUCUUAGUGCCUCCUUUGUACUCACCACUUCGCCGCAGACUCCGAUGCGGUGGAUCCUCCAGGGAUUAGUGCAACCCGCAGCUCCAGCCAGGUUGCAAGAUAGGAACAGUGCUUGUGCACCCUACGCUCGCACGCUCGGCUCCGUCCAUCAUGGGGCCGAGGAAGUUCCAUGUCGACCCGUACCACGCUCGCCGCAUCAUGGCUCUUCCACACCAUCGCCCCGCCCCCUGUGUUCGCUCCCACAAG